AUACGAAAGGUGCAAGCGUUGUUCGGAUUUACUGGGCGUAAAGAGAGUGUAGGCUGUUUAUUAAGUCGGAUGUGAAAUCCCGGGGCUCAACCUCGGAACUGCAUUCGAUACUGGUAGACUAGAGUUCGGGAGGGGUAAGCGGAAUUCCGUGUGUAGCAGUGAAAUGCGUAGAUAUACGGAGGAACACCUGAGGCGAAGGCGGCUUACUGGACCGAUACUGACACUGAGACUCGAAAGCGUGGGUAGCAAACAGGAUUAGAUACCCCAGUAGUCC
rnacentral:rRNA from 1 species